rnacentral:rRNA from 1 species
AGAGUUUGAUCAUGGCUCAGAUUGAACGCUGGCGGCAGGCUUAACACAUGCAAGUCGAGCGGGGAAGGGUAGCUUGCUACCUGACCUAGCGGCGGACGGGUGAGUAAUGCUUAGGAAUCUGCCUAUUAGUGGGGGACAACAUUCCGAAAGGAAUGCUAAUACCGCAUACGCCCUACGGGGGAAAGCAGGGGAUCUUCGGACCUUGCGCUAAUAGAUGAGCCUAAGUCAGAUUAGCUAGUUGGUGGGGUAAAGGCCUACCAAGGCGACGAUCUGUAGCGGGUCUGAGAGGAUGAUCCGCCACACUGGGACUAAGACACGGCCCAGACUCCUACGGGAGGCAGCAGUGGGGAAUAUUGGACAAUGGGCGAAAGCCUGAUCCAGCCAUGCCGCGUGUGUGAAGAAGGCCUUUUGGUUGUAAAGCACUUUAAGCGAGGAGGAGGCUACUUGGAUUAAUACUCUAGGAUAGUGGACGUUACUCGCAGAAUAAGCACCGGCUAACUCUGUGCCAGCAGCCGCGGUAAUACAGAGGGUGCGAGCGUUAAUCGGAUUUACUGGGCGUAAAGCGUGCGUAGGCGGCUUUUUAAGUCGGAUGUGAAAUCCCUGAGCUUAACUUAGGAAUUGCAUUCGAUACUGGGAAGCUAGAGUAUGGGAGAGGAUGGUAGAACUCCAGGUGUAGCGGUGAAAUGCGUAGAGAUCUGGAGGAAUACCGAUGGCGAACGCAGCCAUCUGGCCUAAUACUGACGCUGAGGUACGAAAGCAUGGGGAGCAAACAGGAUUAGAUACCCUGGUAGUCCAUGCCGUAAACGAUGUCUACUAGCCGUUGGGGGCCUUUGAGGCUUUAGUGGCGCAGCUAACGCGAUAAGUAGACCGCCUGGGGAGUACGGUCGCAGACUAAACUCAAA